GUUCACAGAGGAGCCGCCGCCGCCGCCCCCGCCCCUUCCCCUUCAGCUCGCGCUCUUCCUCUCUUCCCCGCCCCCCUCGCUCGGCCGGCAGCCGGCCGCCGGCCCGCCGACUCCUUCGCCUUCGGGAAGCACUGCCGAGGCGGCCGCGUUGCUCUGGGUCGCGCGUCGCCGCGCACCCGGUCAACUCUGCAUGGGUCGCCUCACUCCUCCUCCUCCCCAUCGGGACCGGGCAGCAGGACGAGCGCGAAUAAGAGGCACAACCCUAGCCCUCCCUCGCCGCCAUCUAUCGCUCCCCCGUUCAUCCUCUCCAGCCGCCGCCGCCACCGCCACCCCAAUGUCUCCUCCUCACGCACCCUCUCCUCGCCACCGUCGUCGCAAGUGCCCACGCGGGUGGAUUAGGUGGUCAGAGCGGGAUGUGACAACGCAUCUGGCCGGAGGAGAACGUGGCAGCGGCAUCUCCUAGCGACGGCGCUGGGGCAGGCGAUGCUUCAAGGCGACGGGCUGAGGCGGCGGUGCAGGGAUCCGCUCGGUCUGCUGUUGCUGGUGCGGGCGGACGGGGGAGCGGGUCGAGGUGGCAGCUCCGUCGGCGAUGCCUAGGUUCUGAAGAGCCACCAUUUGUUCCGUUCGUCAAGGAUUCGACCGUCCUGCCGACUGCUGCUGCGUCGAGAUGUUGCAAGGGUUCUGGUACAUUCGCCGGGAAUGAGGGUCUGCUAAUGUUAUGGGCUUGAUUGGCUUUGUGAGUGAGAGCAAGAUUGUGCUUUGCAGGCGGAGCGCAAGGAGGAGGACACCUGAGUGGAGAUCUACUGCGCCGCCAAGCCGGGGCUACUGCUGUCAACGGUGAGCGCCCUGGACACGCUGGGCCUCGACAUCCAGCAGUGCGUCGUCAGCUGCUUCAACGACUUCGCCAUGCACGUCUCCUGCUCCGACGUACCAACGAUUCCAUCCAUGAAUUCAUCACUACACCAACCAACAUGGAUGGAUUCAUCUUCUUCUUCAGCAAGAUCAUCAGUAAUGAGUUCUUUAAGCAGCAAAAUUACCCAGAAGAAGUGAAACAUUACACUGAAGCGCUUAGGAGAAACGUAGAGGAUCCAAAGGUAUAAAGCAAUCCAGUUUUUCAGGAAAGAGUACGACAAAGCAAUGGAAACUUAUCAGGAAGGCCUAAAGCAUGAUCCGAGUAACCAGGAGCUGCUUGGAGCGCCAGCGCUUUUAACAGCUGGUUUGGAGAUCUAGGGAUACAAGCGCGUUCAGGAAAUUAUAUGGGUGAAGACCAAUAGACUUCAACGCAUUAUUCGAACUGGCCGCACUAGCCAUUGAGCAGGCAGGAGGAGGAAGCAGAGAGGGAGAGGGCGAGGAGAUCCUGGUCUGCACCUUGCGUCUCCCACAAGCUACUGCAACGGGAGAAUCGUAUACCCAAAAUCUUUCUCAAAGCCUACAGCUACUGCCUCCCCAAGCAAUGCCAACCUGCAGCAACAAGAUAAGCUACACUCUGUUUAUGUAUUACAUAUUUCAUUCAACUAUGCCCCUCUCUUUAAUCUUCCCAUUGUGAAUAGGUUAUAUGGUAAUAUAAAUAGCUGAUUUGAUAAUGGAAAAAACUGAUUUGAUAAUAGAAAUAGCUGGUUUGAUACAAACAUAUUGCUAACUCCUUAGGUGUAAUGUUGUUUAAAAGAUGCCACGGUCGUAUAUUUUUUUCAUGAGACAAACAUGUAUUUGUUUGUUUGUAGGGUUCAGAUUUUAAGAUCUCUGGUGGGCUUCUAUAGGAUUGGUAGAAGAGGAGGACCAGAGCUGACCAACUCUUCUCAAGGUCACCUUUCUACAACAAUGUGGACCAGACUAUCGUGAGAAUUUUUAGCAGAAUGAUUCUUGAUAUUAUGUUGGAUCAUGUUGGAAUUCCUAGAGCUAUUUAUCGGAGAAGGAUGUACCCGCAUAACACAAUGACUGUCACCGUGCUUUUCUACCGGAGAAAUGCACGCAUUUGAGUAUUUCUGUCAGCCAUCUUCGUAAACAAAUGUUGAUUACAUCUGGUCAUUACAUUCUUCGGGAGGAGACCUUGUGUUGAGCAUGACACCCAGUCUGGCCAGCCUUGCAACUGCCAGCAACCCGAUUCAUCGACUGUAUGUUGAGCCAAGCAAUGGUCUUUGUUAUGAGGAGCCUGACUGCACCGAAUAUGAUGAGUUUCCUGGGUACUAUCCAUCUGACCAUGAGGACAACAAUAGUGAUUGCUUAUCUGAGCUUGAGUUGUGGUGAAUGCGACCGAUGUUUUGACCGCAUAAGAAGAUGAAGUUCUUUUCGUUUAUCGAGUAAUAUUAUCAUAGGUGGAUGUGAUGCCUCUAUAGAGGCGUUGUGAAUCAGUGUAGUAGCACACCACCCUAUCCUUAUUGUAAAUUAUGUGUGCUCAUCGCUAUGAGACAGUCCUUCGGAUGGAUUUACUAAUCCAUGGUUAUUGUAUAUUAUGUUGUAGUU